AAAGUUUUGCAGUAAGAGAAAGAUUGGGAUUCGCUAACUAAAUUAAGCUCUGCAGCAGAUCAUAUCUUUCAAUUCUCACACACUUAUCACAAGAAAAAGAAGAAGACNNNNNNNNNCAGUUAUUUUGGAGAGCCAAACUUGGGAAAUGAAAGAGGUGGAUCUUCAAGGAAAGGCAAGAAGAGUAACUCAGACAAGCCUAAGCAACCCCAGAGAGGCCNNNNNNNNCAAUUAGAGAAGAUCAGAUUACAUGGCCAACUGGGUACUAGCUACCAUCCUUCUCUUCAUGGCCCCUACCCCUCUAAUUUCAACCAGGAUGAUAUGAGAAUGCAGACAGCUUAUUCAUCAUCAUCUUCUUUCUCUUAUUCUUCUUCAUCUGC
rnacentral:misc_RNA from 1 species